rnacentral:rRNA from 1 species
UACGUAGGGGGCAAGCGUUGUCCGGAAUCAUUGGGCGUAAAGCGCACGUAGGCGGCUCGGUAAGUCCGCUGUGAAAGUCGGGGGCUCAACCCUCGGAUGCCGGUGGAAACUGUCGGGCUUGAGUACGGAAGAGGCGAGUGGAAUUCCUGGUGUAGCGGUGAAAUGCGCAGAUAUCAGGAGGAACACCAAUUGCGAAGGCAGCUCGCUGGGACGUUACUGACGCUGAUGUGCGAAAGCGUGGGGAGCAAACAGG